rnacentral:lncRNA from 1 species
AUUUGACCAAGAAUCAGGAGCUUUGAAGGCACAAGGCAAGCGCGCCGGCCGUGAGCAGCCAGCUGAUGCAGAGGGCACAUCAGGAGAAGCCAUCCUGGCUCAUCACACAACGGCCGUGCCGUCCGCUGCCGGUUCCGUGUUGGAACCCGGAGCGCUGGAGUGGCCUCCGCGCGCAUCUCCGAACCUCUCCAGCCGCAUCCAGUCACCGGGACCGCGGCCGCCUAUGAGAACAUCAUUAGAGAGCAGAAGGAGCUGCGCGCACGGCUGCAGCAGUUCAUGGGCGGCGGCGCUGUGGACUCUGCCGAGCACAAGAAGCUGUGCUCGGCGCUGGCACAGCUCGAGAAUCGCUUCUGUGAGAGGAGGCUCUGGAGUGCGAACUGACCACGCUAAACGAGGGCCGCCAGCAGCUUGCCCAGCUGUAGCAGCUGGUGUCGCAGCCGAUUGUUGGCCAGCAGCCGGCGGCGGCCGCUCCUUCCGUGGCGGCCCCGGACAGCGGCACCAACUCUCCGACUGCCCCGCCCGCCGUCCGUCCGCCCUGGCCGAGGCUAGCAGACCGCCCAGCGGAUACUGUCGCUGAUCGAGCAGAUCGGCGCCUGCAAGUACGUGGACGGACAAGCGGCUCCGCUGCACGUGUGCGAGCACUGCGGCGCCCGCGGCAAGCGCGUCCCAUUAUAGUUGGACGAGACUGUGUAAAACCGCCUAUAUCAAACCGUUUCAGUGCCUGACACUGUGUGAUGGGGCCGGCUGCGUCCCCGAGUGGGCGAGUGAACUAUUCGCCUCCGCAGCGGGGCAUAUAUUGCUCUAAAUGGUUGGCGAGUCGUCUUCAGCGAGUUUCGAGGAAAUUAUUAGCGUGUUGCCAUGUUGGGGGCGGAUCGGCGUCUGUCUGGGUGGUUACGUUUGGAAUUGUUUCAUUGUUUAUUUUAUAUCACAGUGCAUGAAUUUCUUGGUGAUAAACAUAUGCACCGUGUACUUCAUCAGCGACGCCACGACGCACCUAAACGUGCAGUCAGCGGCCGGCUGCGUCCCUUUCCUACCCCACCCGCCAAAAUUUCUGAAAAUGUGUGCUUUGGUCCGGUCGGAAACAAUCCUUGCUUUUACAAAAUUUGUGAUUUAUUCAUAAUUCAUGGCCAGCAAUAGCAUAAUUACCUAUUCAUUAGUAGAAUAACAGCUGUUGGAAUUUGCAUCGCAGCUAUCAAAGCGAUUCCGGUUAAACUUCAAACACUUGUCUCAAACGAUUUCAGAUGUGCGGACUAGCAAAUAAAGCAACGACACACCUUC